AUGUCUUGCUCUUCCUGUGUCUCCUCCUCCAGGGCUGGAGGCAGCAGCUUGGCCAGGCUGUCUGCUGGUGGAAGCAGCUUCAGCAGUAGAGGCAGAUGUGGUCUGGGGGGCGGCUCUGCCCGGGGCUUCCAAAGAGGAGCCGACAGCUAUGGCCUGAGUGGGGAUGUCUAGCAGUGGCUUUGGAGGUAGCUUUAGUGGGGGCUUUGAUAAAUGCUCUGUAGGAGGUGGUUCUAGCUUCGGCAGGAUCUCUGGAUUCUGUGGAAGUUCUGGAUUAGGCGGUGGUGCUAGUGGAGGCUUCUGCAGUAUGGUGGUGGCAUGGGAGGUGGUGGUGGCAACGGGGGGCUUUUCUCUGGAGGGGAAAAGCAAACCAUGCAGAACCUCAAUGACGGCCUAGCCAAUUACCUAGACAAUGUCAGAGCCCUAGAAGAGGCCAACACAAAAUCAAGGAGUAGUGUGACAAAUUUGGGCCUGGGUCUGGAGACGGUGGAUCUAGAAGAGAUUGCAGCAAAUACUAUCCAAUAAUUGAAGAUCUCAGGGACCAGAUCAUUGCAGCCACGAUUAAUAAUGCCAGCAUGACUUCCCCAAUUGACAGUGCUGGACUUGCAGCAGAUGACUUCAAAAUGAAGUAUGAAAACGAGCUCUAUCUAAUGCCAGUCAGUUGAAACCUAUGUAAAUGAUCUGCAAAAAGUACUCAGUGAGCUGAAUGUGACCACAUGGCACCUUAAAAUACAGUCCGAAAGCCUAGCAGAAGACCUGGCAUAUCUCCAGAACAACCCCAAGGAGGAAAUGAGUACUUUGCCGAGACAGUCCAGUGGGGACGUGACUGUAGAAAUGAACUCGGCCCCAGGGGCAGAUCUAACCAAGCGGCUGAACUGCAUGAGGCAAAACAGUAAGAGGAACUGGCUGAGCAAAACCUUAGGGAGGCCGAGGAGUGGUUCAACAAGCAGAGUGCAUCCUUGCAGACACAGAUCUCCACGGAUGCUGAAGCAGUUAGCUCGGCCAAGAGUGAGAUAAUGGAGCUGAAACAAGUCCUCCAGUCCCUCCAGCAUGAACUGCAGUCUGUCUUGGCCAUGCAAAGCUCCCCAGAAGGAACCCUGGCUGACACAGAAGCUGGCUACGUGGCUCAGCUGUCAGAAAUUAAGAUGUAUAUCAGCAUCCUGGAGGAGCAGAUCUGCCAGAUCCGGGGCGAGACUGAAUACCAGAACACAGAGUAUGCACAACUGCAGGACAUCAAGACACGCCUGGAGGUGGAGAUCGAGACCUACCACCGCCUGCUCGGUGGAGAGGGAGGG
rnacentral:lncRNA from 1 species